GUCCACGCGGUAAACGAUGAGAACUGGAUGAGUGCCGAGUAAAAUUGGUGCGUAUCGAAGCUAACGCGUUAAGUUCUCCGCCUGGGGAGUACGGCCGCAAGGUUAAAACUCAAAGAAAUUGACGGGGGCCCGCACAAGCGGUGGAGUAUGUGGUUUAAUUCGAUGCAACGCGAAAAACCUUACCUGGUCUUGACAUGUCGAGAAGCCUACUGAGAGGUGGGCGUGCCUUCGGGAGCUCGAACACAGGUGCUGCAUGGCUGUCGU
rnacentral:rRNA from 1 species